GGGGUUGUGGCUCAGUGGUAGAGUGCUUGCCUCUCACGUUUGAGGUGCUGGGUUCAAUUCUCAGCACCA
rfam:Ictidomys tridecemlineatus contig058570, whole genome shotgun sequence.